GUACUAGCUGUCAGCUGCUGGAGACCUUGCUUUCUGUUUCACUGGGAAACAGAAGCAAUCAGAAGGAAACUUCCUCAGACUCCACCUCUCCCUUCACUCCCGCCUGUAUCCGUGCCUGUUACCUGGACGCCUUGUGGAACUUGAAUUCUACGCCCUCCACUGGGACACUGCCCUUCAUCCUCUCUCACCUCCUCCAGGACAACAAAUGUUGUAGUCCUCAUCAUCAGCAGAGACUUUGUGCCAUCCUCUGCUAUAUUAUCCUGAAGAGUGCCUGGCUCAUGCUGCAGUGUUCUGAAUAGCAGUCCAGCUAUGAGGGGAGGUGCCCGUGGCAGGCCUCAGCUGACCCUGGAGAGGCCAUUAAGACCUGGCUGUCGCCUCCACAGCUGCUCGGAGGCAGGAACAGGCAAGUGAGCCUCAGCCUCCUCGUCUGGAAUGAGGGACAAUAGUACCUAUUUCACAGUAAAGUUUCUGGAACAUAGGUGUUCAAUAAAUGACAGACGCUACCAUCACAGAUUACCAAUGUUACAAAACUGUAAACAGAGAAAGGUGGCUUUGUAAGAAGAAAAGAGAUCAUUCUUUUUCCACCAUGUGAGGACCCAGCAAGAGGGUGGCUGUCUGCAAACCCAGGGAGAGAGCCCUCACCAGGAAUCUGCUGGCACCUUAAUCUUGGACUUCCCAGCCUCCACAACUGUGAGGAAUAAAUGUAUGUUGUUUAAGCCA
rnacentral:lncRNA from 1 species